rnacentral:misc_RNA from 1 species
UUCUGCAUAUCUUUUCUAUUCUGCGUUUUUCGUCAGUGUAAAGUGCAUAAAGUUGUUUCAUUUGUGCUAUAACAUAUAGUUUAAGUUUAAAUAGUUGCCUAACAAAAUGUCGUUUACGGGAAAAUUAGCAGAACUGCUAGCGCGGCCAAAUCAAGAUCCAGCUGGCGGUCCGGAAGCACCUUGGUAUCUCAAAUAUGGCUCACGGGUGCUGGGCAUUGUUGCUGCAUUCUUUGCCAUACUCUUUGGCCUGUGGAACGUUCUGUCAAUCAUUGGACUCAGCGUUUCAUGCCUCGUCGCGGGCAUUAUACAAAUGCUAGCAGGCUUUGUGGUGAUGGCGCUGGAAGCGCCGUUCUGCUUUGUCUGCAUCGAGAAGGUCAAUGAUGUAUCGAAAAUGGUGGAUGCCAAGCCCAUGUUCUUUCGGGCGGGCCUAUACUGCGCCAUGGCAGUGCCGCCGAUUUUCAUGUGCUUUGGACUGGCGAGUCUCUUUGGCAGCGGUCUGAUCUUUGCCACCGGUGCUGUUUACGGCAUGAUGGCGUUAGGCAAGAAAGCUUCGCGCGAGGACAUGGCCGCUGCGGCCACAUCGCCCACACAAAUGUCCGGCAGCCAGACGGGCGGCCAAAUGCAAAUGGGCGGCGAUCAGCAUAUCACACUCAUGGAAGAUCCCGAUGUUUGGCGUCCAACAUAAAUGCGCUAACCAAAUGCAUAAACUGCCAAAAAUAAAUUGAACGUUGAAGCAUAAAGCAAACCAAUUACAAACACACACACACUCACACACACACACAUACGCCCGAUACACAUCAGACAGUUAGACAAGGAAAUAUCAUAAUGAAAUAAUAAGUAACAAAUAUUUUACGACGCAUAGUUUUUAGUGUUCGUUCCAAUUAAAAGAAUAUAUAUAUAUACAUAUAUGUAUAUAGGCAUAUGAAUGUGUAUAUGUAAAACUAAUUACAGCAUUGUGCCGCGCAUAGAUCAUAUUGUAGUCUCACAAUAUUGAAUACAGAAUACAGAAUUACAAAAACACCCCACCAAUUGAAAAUGAAAGAAACUUUUCGUAAUUGUUGUUACUGAAAAAAAAAAAAAACAAAAACUAAGACAAAAACAAAAAAUUAAGCAAACAAAACAAAAUAAUAAAAUGUUGAUAAAUUGUUGCGCAAAUGCAUUUUCUCUAUUUUUCUUGGCCAUUGUUCGUCCUGUGCAUGUAGUGGCAUUUCUCCAGUUUUAAAUGUCCUGUGUCGUUUUUUGAACAAAUACAUACAGUUAAAUAUGCAAAUAUAUAAAAUAUAUAUAUAUUAUACUAUAACAUGUACAAUUUAUUUUUAAUGAAAACUGAAAACAGCUUCCACACGGCUAUAGAACAAAUUACCUGCAACAUAAGAAAAAUAAUGUCAAGAAUCGUAGAGCAAUAUAUAAAACUCAGAGAGCAUUCAUUUGAUAUGCGUUGCGCUUGCACAUAAAUAAAGUGAACAAAUGUAAAUGUUAAAAUGUUAAUUGAGAUGAACAAAUAUAUGUUUGGAUUUAUUUUUAUUAAAGUAGAAACAUGAUAAUUAUUUCCAUUGUAAUUUAUAUAUAAAUGUAAACUUUGUAAAGGUUAUUGUGAAAUUUAAACAUCAUAUGUAUUCGGCUAAAGCCUUUUGUGUGCUCAGAAUUUCAUUCCAUUUUAAAUAUUUAUUUUUUUGUAUUUCAAUUAACAAUCAUAUGAUUUGUUGAACAAAAUUAUUAUCAUAAUUAAUUUAUAUAUUUAUUUAUUGCCGUAAGCUAAGCCUCUUAUUGUUAAUUUAGUUGUAUGCAUAAUCAUCAUUUAUUUAAAAACAUAAUAAUACUCGCAUCAAAUGGAAAACAGAAUAAGCAUCCUAAUGGAUCCAUAUUGGCAUCCAAUGUGGCUUCUCUAUAUAAAUGCAUACUCUCUGGUUACUUGUUACAAAAAUCAAUUUCUCGUAAGCAGCCUGAACAACGUCGUCCUAGCUUAAUAUACAUUAAAUAUAUAGAUGAAAUUAGUUAAUUAAUUAUAUAUAUAAAUAUAUAUAUAUAUAUGCCUAACGAACGCAACACUAAAAAACAUUCAAGUAAAAUAUUAUGUUACGAGUUAACUAAAAUAAAUAUUAUCAACAUAUUAUGCUAAUGAAUUGUACAUGCCAAACUGCCACAGAACACACAGUCCCAGUUAAUAAUGCCUGCAGCAAACGAGCGACAUAAACUUCAACAACAACAGCAAGAAAGCCUCCGCUGCCGAUAUGCGAGCCGCGGCAGCGCAGACAUCGUAUGGAGGCAAUGCAGCGUCCACGACCAGCGAUCGGGCGGGCAUUGUGAGCAAUGCACAGCCGUUCUCCUUCACCGGUGCCGUGGGCACCGACAGCAAUGUGUGAUGACACCGUCGGCAGUCGGAACAGUUGGAUUGUGGCUGGGGUGUGCGGUGAGAAAACAAGACUCAAAACGCAACGCAACGCAACGCAUUAAGGCAAACUACAACUACAUCAAUGAAGAGUUAAAGUAAAUAGGCAGGAUACAAUCUAAUUAACUUGUGCAAUUAAU